rnacentral:tRNA from 1 species
GUGACCUUAAGUUAACAAAAACUUUGUGCCUUUUAAGCACUUUAUGCUUUAGCAGGCCACU